AACGGAGGAGGCGAGUGUUGUCCGUAAUGACUGGGCGUAAAGGAUGUGUAGGCGGUCAGGUUCUGUUUGAAAUGAAUCCCUUCCUAUACAGGAAGAACCUUUUCUUAUACGAAAGGACUAGAGUUAGACUCAAGAUCAUAGAAUUUCUGGUGAAUGAGUAGAAUCAAUCGAUAUUAGAAGGAAAAACCUACUGGCGAAAGCGAAUUUUCUGGAGCUAACUGACGUUGAGACAUGAAAGUAUGGGGGAGCAAAUAGG
rnacentral:rRNA from 1 species